AUUACAAAGCGAAACUGCGAAUGGCUCAUUAUAUAAGUUAUCGUUUAUUUGAUAGUACCUUACUACAUGGAUAACCGUGGUAAUUCUAGAGCUAAUACAUGCUGAAAAUCCCGACUUCGGAAGGGAUGUAUUUAUUAGAUACAAAACCAAUGCCCUUCGGGGCUCUCUUGGUGAUUCAUGAUAACUUCUCGAAUCGCACGGCCCCGCGCCGGCGAUGGUUCAUUCAAAUUUCUUCCCUAUCAACUUUCGAUGCUACGGUAUUGUCCUAGCAUGGUUGCAACGGGUGACGGAGGGUUAGGGCUCGACCCCGGAGAAGGAGCCUGAGAAACGGCUACUACAUCCAAGGAAGGCAGCAGGCGCGCAAAUUACCCAAUCCCGAUACGGGGAGGUAGUGACGAUAAAUACCGAUACAGGGCUCUUUUGGGUCCUGUAAUUGGAAUGAGUACAAUUCAAAUCCCUUAACGAGGAACAAUUGGAGGGCAAGUCUGGUGCCAGCAGCCGCGGUAAUUCCAGCUCCAAUAGCGUAUAUUAAAGUUGUUGUGGUUAAAAAGCUCGUAGUAGAAGCUCGGGCUCCGGCCGACCGGUCCGCCUCACCGCGUGCACUGGUUCGGCCGGGCCUUCACCUUCUGCGGAACCGCAUCUCCUUCACUGGGGGUGUCGGGGAAACAGGACGUUUACUGUGAAAAAAUUAGAGUGCUCCAGGCAGGCCUAUGCUCGAAUAGAUUAGCAUGGAAUAAUGGAAUAGGACGUGUGGUCUUAUUUCGUUGGUUUCUAGGACCGCCGUAAUGAUUAAUAGGGACAGUCGGGGGCAUCAGUAUUCAAUCGUCAGAGGUGAAAUUCUUGGAUCGAUUGAAGACUAACUACUGCGAAAGCAUUUGCCAAGGAUGUUUUCAUUUAUCAGGAACGAAAGUUAGGGGAUCGAAGACGAUCAGAUACCGUCGUAGUCUUAACCAUAAACUAUGCCGACUAGGGAUCGGACGGUGUUAUUUCUUGACCCGUUCGGCACCUUACGAGAAAUCAAAGUGCUUGGGCUCCAGGGGGAGUAUGGUCGCAAGGCUGACACUUAAUGAAUUGACGGAAGGGCACCACCAGGGGGGGAGCCUGCGGCUUAAUUUGACUCAACACGGGGAAACUCACAGGUCCGGACCACCAGGAUGGAAGAUGGAAACCCUUUCCUGAUUUUGGGGUGGGGGGCAUGGCCGUUCUUAAGUGGGGGAGGGAUUGGCUGCUUAAUUCCAUACCAACGGAACCUUAACCGGGAAAAAAGCCGGAUUACCCCGGUGUACCCCGACUUCUUAAAGGAAUUUCGCCUCAC
rnacentral:rRNA from 1 species